GCUUCCGUAGCUCAGUUGGUUAGAGCGUCGUACUAAUAAUGCGAAGGUCUCAGGUUCAAGCCCUGGCGGGAGCA